GUAGGCCCCAGUGUUACAGGUUACCAUGUAGUUGUCAAUGCAGAUGGUAAUGGUGACAUGGUAUCUAAUUUUACCUUUUUUUGUUGUUGUUGUUUUGAUCUGAUUUAGUUAUCGACCGUGUAAUUUCAGGGUCAUAAAUGGUAGUGGAGUACAGAAAUGUCCGGUAUCCAGCUUUGUGUAUAAUUGCAAAGGUGAUACUUGCAAUCAAUGCAUUGGGGAUGUCGUAAUGUUUGAACAAAAUGUCAGCCUUUAAACUAUCUAUCUUUUGGCUCAAUUAGAUUUUAAUGAAUUCCAAAGCCGUUUCAUCUUCCUGCUUGUUUUGUAAUUUGAUUACACUGCCUUUUAUCAUAACAUCUAGGAGUGCUACUGGACCUGCAUUUGGAACUAGAACUGUUGUAGGUCGUAUUUUGAAAGAAAUCUAUGGUUCUGCUAAGUAGCAAUACACAUUUACAGUGAGCUUGAUUGUUCUAUAUGUAACCUUAACUUUAGAUUUCCUGAAAUUUCAGUGGAACUAAAUUAUGUUACUGGCUAAUAUAUGGGCAUUGUGCAUAUUUAAAUUCUAACGCUUCUCUGUUUGAUCAGACUGAAGUAUUAAGGAGCAUAGAAGAGGAACCACUUCCUCCACUCUACCCUCUUAUAAUUAAGGGUAGAAACCUUUAUAAUCUAAACACAAUGAGAUAGGCGGAUGAGGAGAUGAGCAGGAAGGUCUAAUAAAGAAGCAAGAAUGAACAAAAGGAAAUGUGGAACAAGAGUACUGGACAAAGGUGAACUUCUCAAGUCUGUCCUGUUUGUCAACAAUAUCGUCUUGGGUUUUGUUUGAAAGUCCCAGCGCUCAAAAUAUGAAUUCAGUUUGCAUUUGUUUUUGCCAUUUCUUGAUUUUUUUGAAGCUAUUUAGUAUUUAGCCUUUAGUAGUACACAUAUAUAGUUGCUGAUAUCACAAAAGCAGGAGAUGACUUUACAAGUUCUCAUAAAUUCUUAGUUUGUGAGAUUAUCUCCAAGGAGUAUUGUACUUGGCUAAUGGAAUCGGAAUGUGGUGGUUGCGCCCAUCACCAAGAUGGUCGUUAUUAUGCGACAAACAAGGAAAGGGAAAUACAAGAUAAACUGCAAUAUGGUGUUUGUGUUGGCUGAGGGUGAAGCCAUUUUCGAAGGAAAAUGCUUGAAAGCACUUAUUGUUGGUGCUGGUUUGGUUAGAUCACAGGAAACCAAAUUUUUUAUAUCAUGCUGCAACAAUCUUCAAGGUAUGGAAGUUGUGAGAUAACAAGGAAUUCAAUGCAUCAUCCAGGAUUUCUCAUUCUACCAAGGUUCCAAACUAGAGAAUUUUCAAGUCUUUGGCAUUUAAGUUUUCUGUUACGGAUUAUGUUCCACAUGUUUUAUUCCUGAUAAGUCGCUUGAGUCAUUUUCAACAUCUUCUCUUAUA